GGAGUUAGCCGGUGCUUCUUCUGUGAGUGAUGUCCUUCCUGCCGGCUAUUAACCCGCAGGCCUUCUUCCUCACUGAAAGUGCUUUACAACCCGAAGGCCUUCUUCACACACGCGGCAUGGCUGGAUCAGGGUUGCCCCCAUUGUCCAAUAUUCCCCACUGCUGCCUCCCGUAGGAGUCUGGGCCGUGUCUCAGUCCCAGUGUGUCUGAUCAUCCUCUCAGACCAGCUACGGAUCGUCGCCUUGGUGAGCCGUUACCUCACCAACCAGCUAAUCCGACAUAGGCUCAUCCGAUAGCGCGAGGCCCGAAGGUCCCCCGCUUUCCCCCGUAGGGCGUAUGCGAUAUUAGCCUGGGUUUCCCCAGGUUAUCCCCCACUACCGGGCAGAUUCCUAUGCAUUACUCACCCGUCCGCCGCUCGCCACCAGGGAGCAAGCUCCCCGUGCUGCCGCUCGACUUGCAUGUGUUAGGCCUGCCGCCAGCGUUCAAUCUGAACCAAGAUCAAACUCUGA
rnacentral:rRNA from 1 species